UAUGUGAUGUCUCUCGCAUAUCAAUAAGCGGAGGAAAAGAAACUAACAAGGAUUCCCCUAGUAACGGCGAGUGAAGCGGGAAGAGCUCAAAUUUGAAAUCUUAAAGGGUUUCCCUUACGAAUUGUAGUUUAAAGAAGUGUUUUCUGUUGAGGUUUUGGUAAAAGUUCUUUGGAAUAGGACAUCAUAGAGGGUGAGAAUCCCGUAUUUGACCUUUACUUUCAACUUUGUGAUACACUUUCAAAGAGUCGGAUUGUUUGGGAAUGCAGUCCAAAAUGGGUGGUAAAUUUCAUCUAAAGCUAAAUAUUGGCGAGAGACCGAUAGCGAACAAGUACCGUGAGGGAAAGAUGAAAAGAACUUUGAAAAGAGAGUUAAACAGUACGUGAAAUUGUCAAAAGGGAAGCGUUUGACACCAGUGUUGUUUUUCUGAAAAUCAAUUAAAGAACUGUUUAUGCUAAGCUGUUUAGACUUUAUCAGCUAUACUGUUUAGUUUUGAGCUUUUCUUUAAUGCACUUUUCAGUUAACAAGUCAACAUCAAUUUCUUUUGCUGUAAAAAAGCUUGAGGAAGGUGGCUUGAGAUUCGUCUUAAGUGUUUAUAGCCUCUUGCCUAUGCAGUCGGAGAGAUUGAGGUCUGCAGCGUAGAUCCUUCGGGGCUAAAUGCAUUUGUGCUAAGUUAUAGCAUUUCAUAGACAACUUGUUGACUAUGAUUUGUCUUGUAGCUUACUCGCUUAUGUUAUUUUACCUACGCUUAGGAUGUUGACAGCAGUAUAGACUGU
rnacentral:rRNA from 1 species